UAAGGUGGUUAUUGCGUCGGGGCUCACCUCUUCCCAUUCCGAACAGAGAAGUUAAGCCCGAUUGCGCAGAUGGUACUGCAGUUAUGUGGGAGAGUAUGUCGCCGCCUUUCUUUUGAAAAGCCCUAUCAGUAAUGAUAGGGCUUUUUUGUUACCAAUAUAGC
rnacentral:rRNA from 1 species